rnacentral:sRNA from 1 species
GCUGGGUGUGGUGGCACAUGCCUGUAAUCCCAACAGCUUGGGAGGCUGAGGCAGGAGGAUCAAAAGUUCAAGGCCUGCCUCAGCAAAUUAGCAAGUCCGUAAGCAACUCAGAGAGACUCUGUCUCUA